UAGAUGUAUUAGAAAUAAUGUAUGGAUGUGACAGUAGUGAAUGAUCAGUCAGUUGUGACUGAUGCAAAGCUGCAUGGGAUGUGGUCAUCUUCAGACAGAGCAUGCCAGGAUCACUGAUCCAGUACUUCUCCCCUUCCACCUGGUUGAAGCAUGAGAAUCAAGUGGCUUACCCUAAAGAACAGAAACACAGAAUUUAAUGCAGGAAUCCUGAUUUGUUGCAGGAACAGAAGGUCUUCAGUACCUUUAUCUGAUGGGAGAUUCCAUUACAGUACAAAACAGGAGUUCAGGAUGUGUUCACCACAGAGAUAAAAGCUGACAUUGACUCUUCCACAAGGUUUCAAUAGGAAAGCAGACCAGGAGCCAGUGAACCAGAAUGAGGAGGAAAUCAGAAAACAUGCCAUUCCGUUCAUCCUGUAGCACAAAGGCAGGAUUACUGUGGCUGGGAAGGUCGGUGAGGAUUUCGUCUGCCACCAGAGAGCACUGUAACUAUACGCUCCAGCCAGCCGGCCCAAUUUCCAGACCUGAAGGACUUGAGUGUUUCUUCUACUUUUAUUCCAACACAAAUAUAGCUUCACUUACAUCCUUCAAGCAGCAUGGCUGCAGCAAAGCUUCCAUUGCUUUGAGUCCUGGCAUAUAUAAGGAGCACAGCACUGCUGGCCUUCUGUGGGAUGGCAGAGACCUUUGCUGA
rnacentral:lncRNA from 1 species